UACAGGUCCAAAAGGCCAUCGUUGUAGUAUACGCUUCUCAAACGUGAAUACAGGGAUGGACGUUAGCCAAUCCCUUCUCCUGCUAUGCGCAAAAUCAUGAAAAAUAUUUAGCCUAAUAGCGUCUAUGUGAAUUUGCCUUUUUUCCUUACCAGUGUUCGCUCGAGAAUGUUCCAACAAAAGUAACCAGGUUACCGCGUUUUGCUAUUACUACUUACGCUGAAAACACCGUCGAACCUUUGACCCAUUUUUCUAUCGAUCUUCCAUGUUUCGCAUAUAGGGCAUACCGUAAUGGCCUCCGAUCAUCAAAGAUUCGUUUCUCCAGACAUCUACGUAACCAUUAGACGCACACACGAUCGUUGAUGUUACGUAACGCGCGAUAUUCCUUAAAACGACUUGGAAUUAUGUAAAUAAUGUUUUUCCUCUUCGUUUGAAACACAACAGAUCGAAAAUUAAAAAUAUAAAAGCGUAAUAUCGUUAUACGAAUGGAAAAGUCGAUGAUCACAUAUUAUCGGAGAACACGAGAAAUCGGAGGAAAUAAAAAUUUGCCAAUUGACGUUAGCAAGUGCAAAGAAGAGAAGUAUCAUUUCCUUAGCGAGACUGGUCGUAUACAAAAUUUAUUUCCUCUUACGUAACACGGCGAUAAAAGGUUGAAGAAAGUGUCACGAUAGAGCACGUAAAGGAUUCUGUGGAUGGACGAGCGAUACAGUGCGAGGUCGAGACAAUGGUAAGGCGGCGCGUUGUGCAACUUUCAAGGAGAAUGAGCAGCACGCGUGUCAUGCGUUCCUGCGUGUUCGUGGACGCAUAUGCGCACGCUCGAUGAUAAUCGACAGAAAGAGAAAGGUCAUUGGGGAAUGGAGUUUCGCUUCCUCUUCCUCGUUGCGAUUACGAGUAGGUAAGCGGGUAUCCAAAAUUGCGGAGAGUGACGCAACGCGCAGCUGUAUGUAUAAAUUCAUGUACAUACGAGCAUUCACGGACACGUAGUGCUUGCGAGUGUGUACAUUUACGUGCGUAUAUAUAUGUAGAUAAAGUACUGGAUAUGCCGGCGGAAGCACGGUACUGCACGACAACGAACUAAGUUUUUCAUACAAUUAAGAAUUCGCGCAGCAGCUGCCUUCGUUUAAAUUAAAAUAUUCGAUAGCUUUUAUCGCAUUAUAGGUUCAAAAAAUAGAUCGCCUCUGGGAAAUAAAGGCGUUACAUAUAUAUAAGAAUUCGCUAUAGGUCUUUCGAUUCCUCGUAUAUGAAAUUUCAAUGAUAUUCGAUCCGAAUGGGAUAUGUAACUUGCAUUAUUAACGCUGCGUUAAUCGAUACGAUCAUUUUUUCUUCGAAAUUGCAUAACCGCGCGGCGAUUACAAGGAAUUCUAGCACAUUCUGUGGUAAGUUGGUAUGUAUCGCGCGGUUGAUGGGAGAGCAGACUUCGUGAUUCGCUGUAUAGCCAAGGACAGUGACGCUUCACGAUGAGACCUGUGUGAGAAGUCGGUAGUCCGCGUUAGCUUUGGCAUCGUGGGUAUUGAUCGCAACGGGAACUCAAAGGGGAGGACACCACGUUAGGCUAUUCGAACCCCAAUUGGAUCGACCUAUCUCGUGGUAGGGAACGAAGGGGAGGGUGGUUGCAUCGUGGUCUAUGUCAACCAAACACUUAUAUUUUAAUUCCGUUCUUAUACGUGGAAAUUAUGGAGUGUUGGUUUACUCGUGUUCGAACGAAUCGCGACGCAUUCUUGUCAGAUGUAUUUUUGGCGUGCGCGUUUCGCAGAAAUAUAUCGAGGAUUUCAGUGCGAUGAUUGCCGUUACUUACAAAGACCUUGGGCGUUCAUUUUUCUCAACGGGGAAAUAAACGAUAGCAGUGACCCAAAUUUUUUCAACAAACGACCGGGUUUGUGUAAUUUCUGCCGACACUUUUCGCCGCGUUAUGGAAAUAAUUAGCGCGAGAGACGCGGAGAAUUCGCGACCUCCGCUUGAUAAACGCUGGACACGCCAUCGUGCGUGGCUAUUGCGCAACACGAUUCUUUAAUAACAAUACAUCGUCUCCACAAUGAAGCAAUUAUGACGAAGUAAAUGCAAGGAAAAACAAAUUAGGAAUUAUAUACAUUUUAUAAAUAUGUACGUUGUGUAUGCAUGCUGUGAUCUACCUACGCGGAGGAUGUUCGAAUGUUACGGACAAAUAUCUAUCGUGCGUAUAACCUCUGUGAAUAACCUAUAUUAAAGAAAGAAAAUUGUCUCGGCCGAUGAAUUAGGCAACUAUAACUCGAGAGAAUAUUCAAUACGGUUCCGAGAUAUUUUGCGAAUUAAUUCUUUUCGAAGAGUUUACAUUUUCGACGAAUUACUGACGAUGAAACGCAAAUAAAAAUAUACUUAUGAGCGGGAGAAAUGCGCGAAGUGGUUCGCCAUUUACAACGGCCAAUAAAAUUCGGAGAAGUCGCGUCGCGGUGUACCGAUCCGAUUUAACGCACAUACUUUUCUGUUGUUAGAGGUAGCUCGCAUACCAGCGUUCUUCAGAUAAGCACAUUCUUAUCUGCGUUCGUACUUACGUAAGCAACGCCUCGUGUAAACCUUUGCUUGGCUUCGCGCCCCUUUUUCUUCUUCCGUCCUCUCUCUGCAUUUGCAACUUUUUCUCCUUCGUUUCUCUCGUGUUUUGUUUCUUCCUGCUUUCCCUCUUUCGCGUUCCCUUUCACCCUCGACGUUUCAAUCUUCUUCUUCGAUAUACACUUCACUUCAGAAUAGUGUUUCACUGUGAAACGUAGCUGCUUCUCCCACGAUUUCUUUCCACUGCUUCCUUUCUUUCGAAUAUUUUCCUCCAUUCUUCUCUCUCGUGACAGUCGAUCGUUCGCGAAAGUACGCGUUACGACUUUGACAAGUUCAUUACUUUAAAAGAGGUUGAGAAUCGGACGGUUCCAAGCUCAGAAGAUUUAGAUAGCGAAGGUUUGGUUAGUGAAUCCUGAUGCGGAAUAGUCACGUGGACUGACGCGUGCUGGAAACAGUCAGAAGAUGCGAAAGGCGUGUUCUUGUCGAAAUGGUAAACUGCAUCUUUUCAUGGACAAUUGCGUCAUGAUUCAUACCGUUGUUAAAAAUGUUUCACGAUCGCGAUCGUAGUUUUCUUCGGUCGUAUUACUCGUGGUUAGGUAGGUUACACGUAGUAUUAAAAAUAUCGUUAAUUUCGAAUCCAAUCGAAAAUUUCGAAAAAUACGAAUACUAUAGGAGCGAAAGGAUGUAGUUUCGUCGAAUGAAACGACGUGUUAUCGCGCAUGAUAUCGAUUGACCCGUUCUAACUGCAAUAUUCCGACGCGUAAAAUGGUCGUUGCGAAAGACAGAAGGGUAACCGAGCAGAUGGUCGGAAUGGCUCGUCGCACGAUCUCGCUGUUAUCGGUGGAUUGGAAAUGAACCACGCGCAAGUAAAUACAAGUUGGAAAGUGACGAUCGUUGCUGAUUUAUCAGCGGAACGCCGCGCAUUCGAGGAAGCCGAGGUAAAUCGACGAAUGAACCUUGGGGCUCUUGUUACUUGCUUCGUUCCUUUGUUACACAACCGGCUCUCUCGCCAACUCGGCCAACUAUCGACCCCACCAACUUUGUUCUCGCUCUGCUCCCCUUUUCUUCCGUCUUCUAGUGCUCUCUCUCUCUCCCUCUCUCUCUUCCUUUUUCUUGGGCGAGCACUCGCUCUCUUCUCUCUCGUGCUCCCCUCAGUCUCUUUUAUUCCAACCCCAUCUUUCUAUUCCUUCCUUCCUUUUUUGACAACCUCCAUUCUCCGUUCUUUCUGUUGCCUGUCCUUUCUCUCUGAACCUAUUCCCCUGUGUCACGUACUCACUGUCAAAGUUAGGCGUUAUUGAAAGAAACUGGCGUACGAACAAUUAUGAAAAUAAAGCUUGCACGUUGCGCUUAAUACAAUAUUUUGGUGUCCUUCGAUCGAUCAUUUCUAGGAUUGAACGGUGCAUAGAAAAAAUGAGAAUUUUCUAUUGAAAUUUCAUUCGUUCAAAUGGAGUGCCGUUUUGAGGUCAGUAUGACAAAGGAGAUAUCAAGAUCGUGUUCUCUUUUCAAGAUCGUCUGUAUAUUUUUAAAUAUAUAAAUGCUAUCUUUAAAUACAUAAAUGUUUAAUUUUCUGGCACUCGGAUUGAAGAAAAGCCAAGACUAAAAAAAGUGUGUUCCGCAGUGCGGCUGUCGUAUCAGACGAAAUUUGUCAACCUUUGUACGUACGUACAUAGCUUAGACGCUAUAGCAGGAGCGUGAAGAGUUCGAUUAUUAAAUUAUUUGAAUACUCGUUAUCUUGGUUAGCGUGUAUUCGUUAUGUGGUUGGACAGUGACACGAAAUACGACAUUUUUCUGUCUCGUUGCGACAUUACCAUGAUAAGUGGAAGUUUUCAAAUCUCAGAACGAAGAUACAUUCAUCUCCGUUAUUCUGGCAACCAAAGCGUAAUUUGUAAUUCCUGUGUAAUAGCGGCAACACGUUUAACGUUACAUUUUUCGUUUCUCUAUCGAAAUUCCAAUUUUCAUUGAUCAUCCGAUUAUAUCAUAUAAAAACAUAUAAAAAGUCCAACAUGCUUAUAUAGAAUUCCGUGUUCUUCGUUCUCCUUGAAAAAUUCCAUUCUUUUUCGCGAUUCGCCCCAGCUUCCCCUUCGCCAACCCUCUGCGUCUUCCGCGUCUCUACCCUCGCUAUCUAUUUCCGUCCCUCUCCAUCGAGCUUCUUCUUUACGAUUUCGUCAAGUUGCCACCCAUUCUUCCCGAAUUUUCUUCGUUGGCCUCGAACGCGUCUCUCCCCCUAGGUCGGCUUUUCUGUCCCUCACGGUAAUCUACGUCCGUCUUUUUUCGUGAGCGUCUGACGGACCCAAGGGACGCGUGGUGGGGGGCCACGUGCUCCCGGUACCUAGUCACGCGAGGAUAGGACACGUGGUACGUACGUAUGUCCGUUCGGAUGCAUAGGCGUGGAAACGUGUUCUUUGUUGGAGCCGCGCAGCCGCCUCGUCUCACGUAAGUACACGCGUAUAUAUGUACACGUAUCUAGAUCACAUGGGAUUUUACGUGAAAGUUAAUGCAGUCGGAACGCGACAGCCGAAAAACACGUCGAAGCUUAAAUGUCGCAUUGCGAAAAAAAGGAAGACGAGAUGGUGCUAGCACACUGCUGCCUCAGCUAUAUACUUCGAUUAUACGAUCUCGCGUGCCGAAUGCUUAAGGUUGAAUUUUCAAAGAGGAAGAAUACGUUUUAUGGGUAUUAUGAGAUAUUCUCGGUAGCUUUUAAAGCUAGCAGGAAGAAGCGAGUUUCUAAACAUUUGCAAUCCGAUAUCAAUUUUUUCACAGAUACGUACAUUUCGUACCAGAUAGAUCGUCACAUGCUCUUGAAUGUGUCACCUUUUAUCUUAUCACGCGGAACACGUGUAUGAGUAUAAAAGCAAAUGUUGUAGUUUUAUUCGUGCGUGCGAUUCGUUUACACGUGCGUCAGUUACGAAAAGAACGUUUUACGGUUAUCACUUUCAUCGUUUCCUGUUUUACCAUUCGAAACAUCGAUACUUGUUUCCUAUAAUAUCACGCGCCAUACCAUGCAGCUUACGCUCUUCAAAAUCCGAUGAAAAUCUUUCUACGUUAUUUCGAACAUCGCUGCAAGGUUCGAUCACGAGAGCUUGGAAAAAGAGCAAACUAUAUGAAAAAAGAAGAGAAAAGAAGGAUAGGAAAGAGAAUAGUAAAAAAGAGCGACGAUAGAAUUUCUAGUACUCGAUUGUUAAUCGAGUGGUUGGUUGUCGGCCGUGCACAGCGGCUGGCUGGCCAGCUGCACUUGACUCUCCUAUGCAAGAUAAAUAGGUGCGGCUGGUUCCUAUUAAUAGCGGGUGGUUUACGCGGCGAUUGCAGUGUACGGGCUUACAAUUAGCGUAACUCGCCAGCGGUUCGCAUUAGAUUAAAAAUCAUUCGUGCUGUAAAUUACAUCCACUUAUGUAAUGACAUCCGUGCAAGUAUAAAAGAGUUAGCGAACAUCUUGCUACCUAGUCCGUUCACUCGUCGACUGGUUACGGUAUGGAAGAAAAAUCGUGAAACGUUCGCGUUCGAACGCAGUGGCAGCGCUUUCGAAACGAUAAUUUACGACGAUGGGUGGUAACUCGAGGACCUAUAAAGUCUCGCUAAAAUUCUAAAACUGGUCCCUAAACACCUGUUUUCUAUCUCUGACACUCGAUCUCUGUUUCGUAAAUAUCGAUGUUCGUUCGGCCUACGAUCGAACAGUGUGUCAGGAAGCAAGUUGCCGACGUUGUUUCUAUGUACAAAACGCAUUGCGAAAUUCGGCGCGUUAAACAGAGGCACCGAAAGCGGAUAAAAGGCGAGCGAGAAAAAAGAGAGAAGGAUGGGAUUAAAGGCGGAAGCAUCGAGUACGUGAUAAUAUACGUUUGCACGAUAAAUCUUUAAUCGAUAUAUAUGUUUCGCAUGUGCAUUGUACUAGUCGAGCUAGAACUAGGCAAAGAGCAAAACGUAGGCGAGAAACGAGGAGGAGGUGAGGAGGUGGGGAUCAAACAAAAUCCGGUAUAGGCGGGCAACGACCUUUAGGCACGUGCCCCGUGCCACGUGCUGCAUUCGACAAACUGUCGAACGGCCUUUUGCCUUUUUUAUCUCUGUUCGUUUCUGUUUUCACCUCGUUCCGCUUAAAAUUUUCGUCUGGGUCCGUGUUAUCCCAACCGCGUCGCGAUUUCCUUUUAUCGACUGUACCGUAAUACGAAACAGGACCGGUCCAGAUACUGGCAUUCGCUAUUUAUGGCCGUGUCAGUAUCGAAGAAAGAGGUUGAAACUGCGUCCGGAGUCUGUAAAUAGUCAACUCUGACAAUCUCCUUGCCUCUUUUUCCCCCUCUGUUCCUCUCUUUCGUACGCAGUACUAUCACGUACUAUUUCUGCACUGCUCUUUGUUGUAAUAGAAGAGAAAAUGAAGGAAAAACGAUAACCGAGACGUAGAGGCGGAAAAAUUUGUCUUGCGAUAGGUCGAACGUAAUCGGCCUAAUCGAGUCGUGCGAUCGUAAGAUCGUUGCCAAUCGAAAAACACCGAUACUCUGCUCUUCGUUCGUAGUAUACGCGUACAGGAAAGUAAAUGGCUUACGAAGAUGCUACGGCAAGUGCAGUUAUUAAUUAUCGCAAGUUAUUAGCAAUAAGCGCAAUUAAUCAUGGUUUUCAGGGUUUUUCACGGUUUCUUUGCUUUUGCUUUCGGUCGGCCUUUUAUGGCCCGUUUAUUCCGUGAAAGGCAGAUCGAAGGAUCGACGAUAUCUUAGCUGCUCGGAAAUCGCUUUCAAUUUAAAAUAUGGAGAAUGUUAUCGUUUAACGAGCGCUAGACGUGCAUGGUAAAUUGCAGACGAUGAAACUAGUUCUGAAGUUUUUCAUAUCGUUAUCUUUAUGUACUGGCGGAUUAUAUGGGCGUGAGUUGCGUGAAAGAUAAUAGCUGAUUUUCCAAUCUCGUGAUGCGAUAAAAGAUACAAGCAAUUAACAUUACAUAAUUACACGUGGAGAGGGAUUAAUUCAUAGGUGUAAUAUUUUUACGCUCGGUUUUCCACCUAACAAACACGUCUCCGACAAACACUACGUAAAUAACAAUGGAAAUAAACGAAGCCAAAAAAAAAUCCUCCUACCAAGCUAAGUUUGUUUUCGAAAUUUAAAAAUAAGAGGAAAAAGAAGAAAAAGAAACAAAUGUUACGUAGAACGAUAUUGCGAUUUAACCGCCAGAGACGCGCAAUUAUUUGAUAUCACUGAUAAAAUAAACGUAAGAUUAAUCCUUUCCUAUA
rnacentral:lncRNA from 1 species